GAUCAGGCUGUUGGUGAGGUAAUGGCCCACCAAACCUGUAACCGGUACGGGCUCUGAGAGGAGGAGCCCGGAGAUGGGCACUGAGACAAGGGCCCAGGCCCUAUGGGGCGCAGCAGGCGCGAAACCUCUGCAAUAGGCGAAAGCUUGACAGGGUUACUCUGAGUGAUUUCCGUUAAGGAGAUCUUUUGGCACCUCUAAAAAUGGUGCAGAAUAAGGGGUGGGCAAGUCUGGUGUCAGCCGCCGCGGUAAUACCAGCACCCCGAGUGGUCGGGACGUUUAUUGGGCCUAAAGCAUCCGUAGCCGGUUCUACAAGUCUUCCGUUAAAUCCACCUGCUUAACAGAUGGGCUGCGGAAGAUACUAUAGAACUAGGAGGCGGGAGAGGCAAGCGGUACUCGAUGGGUAGGGGUAAAAUCCGUUGAUCCAUUGAAGACCACCAGUGGCGAAGGCGGCUUGCCAGAACGCGCUCGACGGUGAGGGAUGAAAGCUGGGGGAGCAAACCGGAUUAGAUACCCGGGUAGUCCCAGCUGUAAACGAUGCAGACUCGGUGAU
rnacentral:rRNA from 1 species